AAGCAAAGUCUUUGGCUUGAUCAGUUCCUAACAACCCCACGAUUCGUUGUAGCUCCAGAUCAGUUUCUUGUUCUGACUUCACUUGCUCCAAGAAACUACUUCUAAUUGUCAGAUGACUACACCACAUGUGAUCCUUACCCAACUGAACACCGAGAUUCAUGUCCCUCAACUUCUCUAUCAACUCUAACUCUUUGAUCAUCAGAGCUGACAUCUGAACCCGCUUUCUACUUAAAGCAUCCGCCACGACAUUCGCCUUCCCCGGAUGAUAAAGCAACUCAAAGUCGU
rnacentral:lncRNA from 1 species